CUGGCGGCGUGCCUAAUACAUGCAAGUCGAACGGACAUUCAGCAAUGGAUGUAGUGGCGAACGGGUGAGUAACGCGUUGGUGACCUGCCCCGAAGCGGGGGACAACAGCUCGAAAGGGCUGCUAAUACCCCAUAGGAUCUGGGUAUUUAGAGAGCCCAGAUGAAAGGUGCAAACCACUUUGGGAGGGACCUGCGUCCCAUCAGCUAGUUGGUGAGGUAACGGCCCACCAAGGCUACGACGGUAGGGGACCUGAGAGGGUGGCCCCCACAAUGGAACUGAAACACGGUCCAUACACCUACGGGUGGCAGCAGUAGGGAAUAUUGCAUAAUGGGCGAAAGCCUGAUGCAGCAAACCGCCGCGUGCGCGAUGAAGGCCUUCGGGUCGUAAAGCGCUUUUCAGAGGGAUGAGAAAGGACAGUACCUCUGGAAUAAGUCUCGGCUAACUACGUGCCAGCAGCAGC
rnacentral:rRNA from 1 species